rnacentral:rRNA from 1 species
AACGCGAAGAACCUUACCUGGCCUUGACAUCUACGGAACCUUGCAGAGAUGCAGGGGUGCCUUCGGGAACCGUAAGACAGGUGCUGCAUGGCUGUCGUCAGCUCGUGUCGUGAGAUGUUGGGUUAAGUCCCGCAACGAGCGCAACCCUUGUCCUUAGUUGCCAUCAUUCAGUUGGGAACUCUAAGGAGACCGCCGGUGACAAACCGGAGGAAGGUGGGGAUGACGUCAAGUCAUCAUGGCCUUUAUGGCCAGGGCUACACACGUGCUACAAUGGCAGGUACAGAGGGAAGCCAACGCGCGAGCGGGAGCCAAUCCCAGAAAGCCUGUCGUAGUCCGGAUCGGAGUCUGCAACUCGACUCCGUGAAGUCGGAAUCGCUAGUAAUCGCAGAUCAGCAUUGCUGCGGUGAAUACGUUCCCGGGCCUUGUA